rnacentral:rRNA from 1 species
CGGAGGAUCCAAGCGUUAUCCGGAAUCAUUGGGUUUAAAGGGUCCGUAGGCGGCUUUAUAAGUCAGUGGUGAAAUCUCACGGCUCAACCGCGAAAUGGCCAUUGAUACUGUAGGGCUUGAAUUACCAGGAAGUAACUAGAAUAUGUAGUGUAGCGGUGAAAUGCUUAGAUAUUACAUGGAAUACCAAUUGCGAAGGCAGGUUACUACUGGUGGAUUGACGCUGAUGGACGAAAGCGUGGGUAGCGAACAGGAUUAGAUACCCUGGUAGUCCACGCCGUAAACGAUGGAUACUAGCUGUUGGGAGCAAUCUCAGUGGCUAAGCGAAAGUGAUAAGUAUCCCACCUGGGGAGUACGAACGCAAGUUUG